rnacentral:sRNA from 1 species
UUCUCUGCUUUCUGGCAGACCUCCUUCCCUUUCUCUCCCCUCGUCUCUCUUGAACCCCUUCCGCUCAGACUCCUGCACCCACCAUGUCACAGAGCAGCUCUCACUGAGGUCACCAGCCACCUCCACUCUGUUGGUCCAGAGGCCGUGCUGGGCCCUCAUCCUGUGGAACUGCCAGCAGCAUCUUCUUUCGUAAAAUGCCCCUGCUUGGGGCAGCACUCUCUGGUUCUCCCUCCACACUGGCUGGGCCUCUGUGUCUGUGCGUUCUGCUCGUCUCCCUGAGCUCUCCCCAUCGGGGCUUCUCCAGACUCGGUGCUUCGGCAGCCCCCCCUUUUCUAACUCCAGGUGUUCCUUGGGGCAUCUCAUGUCAUCUCCAGCAUUAAACCACGUCUCUACUCUGAUGAUUCCUGAGGCUAUUCCCUGGAGUUCUCUCCUGAACUCCAGGCUCAACAGCCCAGCCAUCUACACAGUCCCUCCACGUGGUGGCCUCAGAGCUACUGCAAGCUUCCAUGAUCACAGCUGAAUUGCUGGUGGCCUGCCCUGCCCCAAACCUGUAGCUCUGUCCUCUUCUCCACGGGAAUGGAAGCUCUUUGCUCCCAUUGCUCAAGCCCAAAAGCCCAGGGGUCAUCCUCAGCCGCUCCUUCUCUGUCAUACACCGCAUCCUAUUCGUCAGCAAAAUCCAUCUAGAAUCUGCCCGCUUCUCGCUGUUUCCACUGCCACCUCCUGAGCUGGGCCACCUUCAUCUUUUGGUCUCUCACCUAAAUCAUUGCCAUAGUCUCCCAGCUGGUUUCUCUGCUUUCACCCCUGCUCUGACAGUCUCUUCCAGCACAACAGCUAGGGCAGUCCUGUCCAGGCAUAAGUCACAGCACGCCUCUACCCUGCUCAGAGCCUCCAUGGCACCCAUCUUACCCGAGUCAAAGCCCCGUCCUUCAGUGGCCCUUGGGCCUUGUGCAGUCACUGUGUCACCCCCAACAUCUCCUUCUCCACCCUCGCCCUGCCUAGCUGCCCGUUGUCUGCUCCUGCCUCCUGCUGUGGCAGCGCCGUCUCCCCUAUGCAGAGCCCUAGGCACCCACUGCCCGGUGGGUGAUCUCUUCAGGCCUUCAGGUUUCUGUCACUCAGUUCCCCUGGCCCUCCCUGAUAGCCCCAUUGAGGACAGGAGCCACCUCUACCCCCAGCAAGAUCACCCUCCUUGCCUGCUUUGCUUUUCCCCCCAGCACUAACCACUGCCGGCCACGCUUUGUGUUUGCUUGUUUGUUUCUGUUUCCUUCUAUUGGAAUCUCAGUUCCUUGAGAACAGGGCCUGGUUUUUCACUGCUGUACCUCCCGUGCUUUGAAUGGUUUCUGGCACAUAGUGGGUGCUUAGUAAAUAUUUGUGCGAUGAGUGGAGGGACAGCCCCACAGGCUGAGUGAAGUCAGUGCUGGGCCAGAGGGCAGCAUAGGCACCAUGGGGACCCCCAGGUGGGUGCUGAGCCCCAGGCAGUGAGCCCUUGUGCUGCCCCUGCCCAGCCUUGGCCACCCUGCACAGGUUCAACCGGGCAGCGCUCAUCAACGUGGGCUUCCUGGAGAGCAGCAACAGCACGGACUACAUUGCCAUGCACGACGUUGACCUGCUCCCUCUCAACGAGGAGCUGGACUAUGGCUUUCCUGAGGCUGGGCCCUUCCACGUGGCCUCCCCGGAGCUCCACCCUCUCUACCACUACAAGACCUAUGUCGGCGGCAUCCUGCUGCUCUCCAAGCAGCACUACCAGCUGUGCAAUGGGAUGUCCAACCGCUUCUGGGGCUGGGGCCGCGAGGACGACGAGUUCUACCGUCGCAUUAAAGGAGCUGGGCUCCAGCUUUUCCGCCCCUCGGGAAUCACAACUGGGUAUAAGACGUUUCGCCACCUGCAUGACCCAGCCUGGCGGAAGAGGGACCAGAAGCGCAUCGCGGCUCAAAAACAGGAGCAGUUCAAGGUGGACAGGGAGGGAGGCCUGAACACUGUGAAGUACCAUGUGGCUUCCCGCACUGCCCUGUCUGUGGGCGGGGCCCCCUGCACUGUCCUCAACAUCAUGUUGGACUGUGACAAGACCGCCACACCCUGGUGCACAUUCAGCUGAGUUGGAUGGACAGUGAGGAAGCCUGUACCGACAGUCCACAUGGCUCAGGCUCAGGACAAGGCGUCAGGUCGCAGGCCCAGCUCUGACAGGAUGUGGAGUGGCCAGGACCAAGACAGCAAGCUACGCAAUUGCAGCCACCCGGCCUCCAAGGCAGGCUUGGGCUGGGCCAGGACACGUGGGGUGCCUGGGACGCUGCUUGCCAUGCACAGUGAUCAGAGAGAGGCUGGAGUGUGUCCUGGCCGGGACCCCCCCGCCUUCCUGCUCACCCUACUCUGACCUCCUUCACGUGCCAAGGCCUGUGAGUGGGGAGGGCUGAACAGGACCACCUCUCAUCAACCCCACUUUUGUUCCUUCCUGCUGGGCUGCCUCGUGCAGAGACACAGCGUAGGGGCCAUGCAGCUGGCGUAGGUGGCAGUUGGGCCUGGGAGGGUUAGAACUUCAGAAACCAGAGCACAAGCCCCACAGAGGGGAACAGCCAGCACCGCUCUAGCUGGUUGUUGCCGUGCCGGAAUGUGGGCCUAGUGUUGCCAGAUCUUCUGAGUUUUCGAAAGAAACUAGAAUGCUG